CCAAUAGCGUAUAUUAAAGUUGUUGCAGUUAAAAAGCUCGUAGUAGUUGAAUUUCGGGGUCAGUAGGUUGGUCGUGCCACUGGUAUGCACUGGUCUCACUGAUUCCUCCUUCCUGAUGAACCGUAAUGCCAUUAAUUUGGUGUUGCGGGGAAUCUGGACUGUUACUUUGAAAAAAUUAGAGUGUUUAAAGCAGGCUAACGCUUGAAUACAUUAGCAUGGAAUAAUGAAAUAGGACGAUCGAUCCUAUUUUGUUGGUUUCUAGGAUUGACGUAAUGAUUAAUAGUGAUAGUUGGGGGCAUUAGUAUUCAAUUGUCAGAGGUGAAAUUCUUGGAUUUAUUGAAGACUAACUACUGCGAAAGCAUUUGCCAAGGAUGUUUUCAUUAAUCAAGAACGAAAGUUAGGGGAUCGAAGACGAUCAGAUACCGUCGUAGUCUUAACCAUAAACUAUGCCGACUAGGGAUCGGAUGAUGUUAAUUUUUUAAUGACUCAUUCGGCGCCUUACG
rnacentral:rRNA from 1 species